AGGCCCCCUAGAGGCAUUGCAAGUGUGUCUGCUCUGUCGUAUGUUUGUCAGUAGGUGGCAGAGAAGAGAGGGGCUACAUCUAUGCUCAGUGUAGCCUAUGAACAUCUGAAUGAUUGAUUCCCUGACAUU